AACGCAAAUUGCGCCCGAGGCCUCGGCCAAGGGCAUGUCUAUCUCAGCGUCGGUCCCUCCUCGCUUUUCCCCUCUUGCGGGUGAAAGCGGAGCUGGCCGUCUCGGCCCUCCCGCCGUGUCGGCCGAAGCGCAUAGGCUCUAGCGGCACCCCAUUCAACGGGCAACAGCUUAAGGUAGGUGGCUUUCGCCGCAUACCGCUGGUGACCGGGGGCUACCGUUGCUUGCCGGCAGGAUGCUGUUUUCCCCAGCGUGAGUUGGGCGCGGCAGUUUUCCCACUCGACCUGAGAUUAGACAAGACCACCCGCUGAACUUAA
rnacentral:misc_RNA from 1 species